CGCCCGAUCGAGGCGCCCAACGACUUCACUAUCAGCAAUGCCGUCCAGACGGACGCGGCCAUUAGCUCGGGCAACUCCGGGGGUCCUC
rnacentral:misc_RNA from 1 species